rnacentral:rRNA from 1 species
CCUACGGGAGGCAGCAGUGGGGAAUAUUGCACAAUGGGGGAAACCCUGAUGCAGCCAUACCGCGUGUGUGAAGAAGGCUUUCGGGUCGUAAAGCACUUUCAGCAGUGAGGAAAAGUAGCUAGUUAAUACCUAGUUACCCUGACGUUAACUGCAAAAGAAGCACCGGCUAACUCCGUGCCAGCAGCCGCGGUAAUACGGAGGGUGCGAGCGUUAUUCGGAAUUACUGGGCGUAAAGCGCGCGUAGGCGGACUAUUAAGUCAGUUGUGAAAGCCCUGGGCUCAACCUGGGAACUGCAUCUGAUACUGGUAGUCUAGAGUUUAAGAGAGGGAAGUGGAAUUCCAGGUGUAGCAGUGAAAUGCGUAGAUAUCUGGAGGAACAUCAGUGGCGAAGGCGACUUCCUGGCUUAAAACUGACGCUGAGGUGCGAAAGCGUGGGUAGCGAACGGGAUUAGAUACCCCGGUAGUCCACGCCGUAAACGAUGUCAACUAGCCGUUGGAAGACUUGAUCUUUUAGUGGCGAAGCUAACGCGAUAAGUAGACCGCCUGGGGAGUACGGCCGCAAGGUUAAAACUCAAAGGAAUUGACGGA